rnacentral:rRNA from 1 species
GACGAACGCUGGCGGCGUGCUUAACACGUGCAAGUCGAACGGAAAGGCCCUGCUUUUGUGGGGUGCUCGAGUGGCGAACGGGUGAGUAACACGUGAGUAACCUGCCCUUGACUUUGGGAUAACUUCAGGAAACUGGGGCUAAUACCGGAUAGGAGCUCCUGCUGCAUGGUGGGGGUUGGAAAGUUUCGGCGGUUGGGGAUGGACUCGCGGCUUAUCAGCUUGUUGGUGGGGUAGUGGCUUACCAAGGCUUUGACGGGUAGCCGGCCUGAGAGGGUGACCGGCCACAUUGGGACGGGGAGCCGGCCCAAACCCCUACGGGGGGAAGCAGGGGGGAAUUUUGCAAAAGGGGCGGAAGCCUGAGGCAGCACCGCCGGGGGGGGGAGGACGGCCUUCGGGUGGAAAACCGUUUUCGCCUGUGACGAAGGGGGAGGGACGGUAAUGGGAAAAGAAGCCCCGGCUAACUACGG